rnacentral:rRNA from 1 species
CUUGAAACACGGACCAAGGAGUUUAUCGUGUACGCGAGUCAUUGGGUAAAAUAAACCCAAAGGCGAAAUGAAAGUAAAGAGUGGACAAUUGUUGAAAAAAUUUAUUUUUUCUUCCAAUUUCCCUCGAGGGAAGAUAGAAAGCUAGUGUCUUUGAUGAGUUUUCUUUCGGGUUAAUUUAUCAUUGGCAUCAUAGCUUUCUCGCAUUCCCGGGGCGCUUGUUUCUCGCUUUGCGAGACUAUGCGCACCUAGAGCGUACACGCUGAUACCCGAAAGAUGGUGAACUAUGCCUGGCCAGGACGAAGCCAGGGGAAACCCUGGUGGAGGUCCGCAGCGAUUCUGACGUGCAAAUCGAUCGUCGGAGCUGGGUAUAGGGGCGAAAGACCAAUCGAACCAUCUAGUAGCUGGUUCCCUCUGAAGUUUCCCUCAGGAUA